rnacentral:rRNA from 1 species
UACGGGGGGGGCAAGCGUUGUUCGGAAUUACUGGGCGUAAAGGGCUCGUAGGUGGCCAACUAAGUCAGACGUGAAAUCCCUCGGCUUAACCGGGGAACUGCGUCUGAUACUGGAUGGCUUGAGAUUGGGAGAGGGAUGCGGAAUUCCAGGUGUAGCGGUGAAAUGCGUAGAUAUCAGGAGGAAUACCUAUGGCGAAAGCAGGUAUCUGGGCCAUAACUGACACUGAGCUGCGAAAGCUAGGGGAGCAAACAGG